GGAUCGCAGGCUGCAACCCGCCUGCGUGAAGUUGGAAUCGCUAGUAAUCGCGGAUCAGCAUGCCGCGGUGAAUACGUUCCCGGGCCUUGUACACACCGCCCGUCACACCAUGAGAGUCGGGAACACCCGAAGUCCGUAGCCUAACCGCGAAGGGGGGCGCGGCCGAAGGUGGGUUCGAUAAUUGGGGUGAAGUCGUAACAAGGUAUC
rnacentral:rRNA from 1 species